UACGUAGGGGGCAAGCGUUGUCCGGAUUUAUUGGGCGUAAAGAGCGUGUAGGCGGCUUUACAGGUCCGUUGUGAAAACUCGAGGCUCAACCUCGAGACGCCGGUGGAAACCGUAAGGCUAGAGUCCGGAAGAGGAGAGUGGAAUUCCUAGUGUAGAGGUGAAAUUCGUAGAUAUUAGGAAGAACACCAGUGGCGAAGGCGGCUCACUGGCCCGGUACUGACGCUGAGGCGCGAAAGCCAGGGGAGCAAACGGG
rnacentral:rRNA from 1 species